rnacentral:rRNA from 1 species
UACGAAGGGGGCUAGCGUUGUUCGGAAUUACUGGGCGUAAAGCGUGCGCAGGCGGCUGCUCAAGUCAGGGGUGAAAGCCCAGAGCUCAACUCUGGAAUUGCCUUUGAGACUGAGUGGCUUGAGUACGGGAGAGGUGAGUGGAAUUCCCAGUGUAGAGGUGAAAUUCGUAGAUAUUGGGAAGAACACCGGUGGCGAAGGCGGCUCACUGGCCCGUAACUGACGCUCAUGCACCGACAGCGUGGGGAGCAAACAGG